rnacentral:lncRNA from 1 species
CACUUGUUUCUUGUUAGGUGACUCUAGAACAGAGACUGUUUUCCAUUUGAGAGAUAGUGCUACCUUUGCCCACUUACUGUUGGAGAAGUACCUAAAGCUGGAUAGCACAACAUUUUGUUGGAGACUCUGAAGCCAGUUAAGAAAGGGAAAAGCAACAAAAGGAGUCAGAUUUGUUCAAACAUAUACAUGAUAGCAAAGAUUUAGAGUAAAGGACAUUCAAUUAUUUAAUACUGUCAAGGC